GUCUAUCUGGAGAAUGAUCACAAACCUUGACUGCAAUUGCUUUUUUUCUUUUCAACUGAACUAAAGAACCACAUGGCCCUGUCAUCUUGUGUCUUGCUAAUAUCUCAAGGACACGUGACAGCUGGUGUCAUAGUGCUGCUGAAAAAUGCAUUCUCUGUGCCCAGG